rnacentral:rRNA from 1 species
UCCUACGGGAGGCAGCAGUGGGGAAUAUUGCACAAUGGGCGAAAGCCUGAUGCAGCGACGCCGCUUGAGGGAUGACGGCCUUCGGGUUGUAAACCUCUUUCAGUAGGGAGAAGCGAAAGUGACGGUACCUGCAGAAGAAGCACCGGCUAACUACGUGCCAGCAGCCGCGGUAAUACGUAGGGUGCGAGCGUUAUCCGGAAUUAUUGGGCGUAAAGAGCUCGUAGGCGGUUUGUCGCGUCUGUCGUGAAAGUCCGGGGCUUAANCCCGGAUCUGCGGUGGGUACGGGCAGACUAGAGUGCAGUAGGGGAGACUGGAAUUCCUGGUGUAGCGGUGGAAUGCGCAGAUAUCAGGAGGAACACCGAUGGCGAAGGCAGGUCUCUGGGCUGUAACUGACGCUGAGGAGCGAAAGCAUGGGGAGCGAACAGGAUUAGAUACCCUGGUAGUCCAUGCCGUAAACGUUGGGCACUAGGUGUGGGGACCAUUCCACGGUUUCCGCGCCGCAGCUAACGCAUUAAGUGCCCCGCCUGGGGAGUACGGCCGCAAGGCUAAAACUCAAAGGAAUUGACGGGGGCCCGCACAAGCGGCGGAGCAUGCGGAUUAAUUCGAUGCAACGCGAAGAACCUUACCAAGGCUUGACAUGUUCUCGAUCGCCGUAGAGAUACGGUUUCCCCUUUGGGGCGGGUUCACAGGUGGUGCAUGGUUGUCGUCAGCUCGUGUCGUGAGAUGUUGGGUUAAGUCCCGCAACGAGCGCAACCCUCGUUCCAUGUUGCCAGCACGUAAUGGUGGGGACUCAUGGAAGACUGCCGGGGUCAACUCGGAGGAAGGUGAGGACGACGUCAAAUCAUCAUGCCCCUUAUGUCUUGGGCUUCACGCNUGCUACAAUGGCCGGUACAAUGGGUUGCGAUACUGUGAGGUGGAGCUAAUCCCAAAAAGCCGGUCUCAGUUCGGAUUGGGGUCUGCAACUCGACCCCAUGAAGUCGGAGUCGCUAGUAAUCGCAGAUCAGCAACGCUGCGGUGAAUACGUUCCCGGGCCUUGUACACACCGCCCGUCAAGUCACGAAAGUUGGUAACACCCGAAGCCGGUGGCCUAACCC